rnacentral:rRNA from 1 species
CCUACGGGAGGCAGCAGUGGGGAAUAUUGCACAAUGGGGGAAACCCUGAUGCAGCGACGCCGCGUGAGCGAUGAAGUAUUUCGGUAUGUAAAGCUCUAUCAGCAGGGAAGAAAAUGACGGUACCUGACUAAGAAGCCCCGGCUAACUACGUGCCAGCAGCCGCGGUAAUACGUAGGGGGCAAGCGUUAUCCGGAUUUACUGGGUGUAAAGGGAGCGUAGACGGCUGUGCAAGCCAGCUGUGAAAGCCCGGGGCUCAACCCCGGGACUGCAGUUGGAACUGUGUGGCUGGAGUGGCGGAGAGGCAGGCGGAAGUCCUAGUGUAGCGGUGAAAUGCGUAGAUAUGAGGAGGAACACCAGUGGCGAAGGCGGCCUGCUGGACGAGGACUGACGUUGAGGCUCGAAAGCGUGGGGAGCAAACAGGAUUAGAUACCCGAGUAGUC